CAACUCUCGGCAAACGGAUAUCUUGGCCCUCGCACCGAUGAAGAGCGCAGCGAAAUGCGAUACGUAGUGUGAAUUGCAGAAUUCCGCGAACCAUGGAGAUCUUGAACGCACUUGGCGCCCGAGGCUUUGGCCGAGGGCACGUCCGUCUGAGCGUCA
rnacentral:rRNA from 1 species